CCAUAUCCGUCUUAAAUUUCACAAAAAAAUAUGUCUGGUCUUUGAAUACUGACAAUUUGAAAAUCGGCUACCAAAAAUUGAAAUUUGAAGACACGGUGCUUUUCGAAAAUGUUAGCUGACUUUAACAGUGACUGUUAUUCAAAAUUUUAGGUACAGUACCUUAAAGAUUGGAGUUUUAUUUAUAUGUCAACAUAAAAAUAAUUAUAAAUUUCAAUACUUAAAAAAAACACGACUAAAUAACCGAAAAACGCCUAAAUUUCCCAUAGUGCAGUAAUGUGACUAGCAGCUCUCUCGCCGCUGGUCGUGUCUGUGUGUCUGCGCAACAGUCGAUACCGAAUUUCGAUUUUCUCGUGGUCGUCUCGGUGUGUGCGUGCGCGUACCUUUGUUGCGCAUGUGUGCUUGCGUUGUGUGGUCGCUGUAUACAUGUAUCAUAUAUACAUGAUGUAUGUGUAUCAGCAUUGUUUCGGUGUGGCUGUGGCUUACUGCGUGGUGUUGUAGCUCAGGUCUAAUGUAGCUUUGCCUCUUUGCAGCUCUGCUCGAAUUUUGCCAAUGAGUUUCAGUAUAAAUAAGGCUGCAUGGCAGAGCCAUCUCAUAGUCGCAUGGUCGACUUUGAACGUUCUCUUUUUGAUGAGAUGUUCACUCAGAUCUCCAUUUUAGUGAUCUUAUUUUAGUGAAAUAAAUUCAUAAAUUUAUUUUUCCGUCUGGAGGCGCAAGAAUAGUGGAUAUCAUCGAUGUGACAUUUAACACUCCACCAGGUGAAUUCAAAACUCUAUCAGACAUUUGGGCUGUGAUACUUAAACGCUUACCCAGAUGUUUUGAGUAACCACCUAAUUCUACAAGCGAAUAAUCGGAAACUCUGGCUGGCAAAUCUUUAGGAUGUAAUACUUCGACGCUUAUCCAGAUUAUUGAGUGACCACCUAAUUCUACAAGGGCAUAAUCUGGCUGAAAAAUCUGUGUUGAACUGAAAACUCUGCCCGGCAAAUCUCUGUGAUGUAAUAAUUAAACGCUAACCCAGAUGUUUUAAGUGACCACAUAAUUCUACAAGCGCAUAUUCGAAAACUCUGGCUGGCAAAUCUUUGGAAUGUAAUACUUAAAUGCUUAUCCAGACUAUUGAGUGACCACCUGAUUCUACAACAGUUGAACUAAAAACUCUGCCCGGCAAAUCUGUGUGAUGUAAUAAUUAAACGCUUACCCAGAUGUUUUGAGUGACCACCUAAUUCUACAAGCGCAUAAUCGAAAAAUCUGCUUGGCAAAUCUUUGGGAUGUAAUAAUUAAACGCUUACCCAGAUGUUUUGAGUGACCACCUAAUUCAACAAGCGCAUAAUCGAAAACUCUGCUUGGCAAAUCUUUGGAAUGUAAUACUUAAACGCUAACCCAGAUAUUUUAAGUGACCACAUAAUUCUACAAGCGCAUAUUCGAAAACUCUGGCUGGCAAAUCUUUGGAAUGUAAUACUUAAAU